UAUGAAUCGAAUAUAUAUACACAAAAUAUAUUAGUUAACAUGUUAAUUUAAGUGGUUUAAUGGUUAAACACUUGUAUAAUUUUGAAUUCAACUAGAGUUCAAAUCACUAUAGUGCGGUUUUAUAAGUUUUUAUUUUAUUUUAAUAGAGAAAUACCAUAUAAAUAUGUAUAAUAUAAGAGAGUAUAUAAAAGAUAAUGCGGUAUUCUAGUAACAAUGUUCUCUUCUUGUCAAACACGGAUUCUAGUGGAGUUGACGAUAUUUUACCUUAUAUCAGAAAGCUAAAACUUGUUUUUAGGAUAUUCGGGUACCCGUUUGGUUCGAGUUUCGGUUCGGUUAUUCGGAUAUAGAAAUAUAUGAACCAUUCGGGUAUUUGAGGGUUUCGAUACGGUUUCGGAUAAUUUGGUUCGGUUUUUUUUGGCCAGGACUAGUGAGGGGACUCAAUAAAUCAAUUAAGCAUUCCAUAAUAAGGAACUGAG
rnacentral:lncRNA from 1 species